GGCGCAUGGUGGAUGCCUUGGCAUCAGAGGCCGAUGAAGGACGUGGGAGGCUGCGAUAUGCCUCGGGGAGCUGCCAACCGAGCGUUGAUCCGAGGAUGUCCGAAUGGGGAAACCCAGCACGAGUGAUGUCGUGUUACCCGUAUCUGAAUUCAUAGGGUGCGGGAGGUAACGCGGGGAAGUGAAACAUCUCAGUACCCGUAGGAAGAGAAAACAAUAGUGAUUCCGUGAGUAGUGGCGAGCGAAAGCGGAGGAUGGCUAAACCGUAUGCAUGUGAUACCGGGUAGGGGUUGUGUGUGCGGGGUUGUGGGACCUUAUUUUCCGGGGCUACCUUCCUGGAGGGCAGUGAGAAAGUGUCGUGGUUAGCGGAAAUGGCUUGGGAUGGCCUGCCGUAGACGGUGAGAGCCCGGUACGUGAAAACCCGACACCUGCCUUGAUUUGUGUUCCCGAGUAGCAGCGGGCCCGUGAAAUCUGCUGUGAAUCUGCCGAGACCACUCGGUAAGCCUGAAUACCUUCUGAUGACCGAUAGCGGAUUAGUACCGUGAGGGAAUGGUGAAAAGUACCCCGGGAGGGGAGUGAAAUAGUACCUGAAACCGUGUGCCUACAAGCCGUCAGAGCCCUCCUUCGUGGUGGGGUGAUGGCGUGCCUUUUGAAGAAUGAGCCUGCGAGUCAGGGACAUGUCGCGAGGUUAACCCGUGUGGGGUAGCCGCAGCGAAAGCGAGUCUGAAUAGGGCGUAUCCGCACAACAGUGUGUGGUGUAGUGGUGUGUUCUGGACCCGAAGCGGAGUGAUCUACCCAUGGCCAGGUUGAAGCAGCAGUAAGAUGUUGUGGAGGACCGAACCCACUUAGGUUGAAGACUGAGGGGAUGAGUUGUGGGUAGGGGUGAAAGGCCAAUCAAACUCCGUGAUAGCUGGUUCUCCCCGAAAUGCAUUUAGGUGCAGCGUCGUGUGUUUCUCACCGGAGGUAGAGCACUGGAUGGCCUAGGGGGCCGACAAGCUUACCGAAGUCAGCCAAACUCCGAAUGCCGGUGAGUGAGAGCGCGGCAGUGAGACUGCGGGGGAUAAGCUUCGUGGUCGAGAGGGAAACAGCCCAGAUCACCGGCUAAGGCCCCUAAGCGUGCGCUAAGUGGGAAAGGAUGUGGGAUCGCCCGGACAACCAGG
rnacentral:rRNA from 1 species